UACGUAGGGUGCAAGCGUUAAUCGGAAUUACUGGGCGUAAAGCGUGCGCAGGCGGUUAUGUAAGACAGAUGUGAAAUGCCCGGGCUUAACCUGGGAACUGCAUUUGUGACUGCAUGGCUAGAGUUUGGCAGAGGGGGGUAGAAUUCCACGUGUAGCAGUGAAAUGCGUAGAUAUGUGGAGGAACACCAGUGGCGAAGGCGGCCCGCUGGGCAGUGGCUGACGCUGAGGGCGCGAACAGCGUGGGGGAGCAAACGAG
rnacentral:rRNA from 1 species